rnacentral:rRNA from 1 species
GCGGCGGCUUACACAUGCAAGUCGAGGGGUAACAGGAGUAGCUUGCUACUUGCUGACGACCGGCGCACGGGUGCGUAACGCGUAUACAAUCUACCUUUUGCUGAGGAAUAGCCCAGAGAAAUUUGGAUUAAUGCCUCAUGGUAUGUAAGUAUGGCAUCAUACUUUCAUUAAAGGUUACGGCAAAAGAUGAGUAUGCGUUCUAUUAGCUAGAUGGUGUGGUAACGGCACACCAUGGCAACGAUAGAUAGGGGCCCUGAGAGGGGGAUCCCCCACACUGGUACUGAGACACGGACCAGACUCCUACGGGAGGCAGCAGUGAGGAAUAUUGGGCAAUGGAGGCAACUCUGACCCAGCCAUGCCGCGUGCAGGAAGACUGCCCUAUGGGUUGUAAACUGCUUUUAUACAGGAAGAAACAGCUCUUCGCGCAAGAGCCUUGACGGUACUGUAAGAAUAAGGAUCGGCUAACUCCGUGCCAGCAGCCGCGGUAAUACGGAGGAUCCAAGCGUUAUCCGGAAUCAUUGGGUUUAAAGGGUCCGUAGGUGGAUAAUUAAGUCAGAGGUGAAAUCCUGCAGCUCAACUGUAGAAUUGCCUUUGAAACUGGUUAUCUUGAGUCAUUAUGAAGUGGUUAGAAUGUGUAGUGUAGCGGUGAAAUGCAUAGAUAUUACACAGAAUACCGAUUGCGA